GAUGAAGAACGCAGCGAAAUGCGAUAAGUAGUGUGAAUUGCAGACUUUAGUGAAUCAUCGAAUCUUUGAACGCACAUUGCGCCCCUUGGUAUUCCAUUGGGCAUGCCUGUUCGAGCGUCAUUUACACCCUCAAGCUCAGCUUGGUGUUGGGCCCCGCCGCCCCGGCGGGCCCUAAAGUCAGUGGCGGUGCCGUCCGGCUCCGAGCGUAGUAAUUCUUCUCGCUCUGGAGGUCCGGUCGUGUGCUCGCCAGCAACCCCCAAUUUUUUUCAGGUUGACCUCGGAUCAGGUAGGGAUACCCGCUGAACUUAAGCAUAUCAAUAAGCGGAGGA
rnacentral:misc_RNA from 1 species